rnacentral:rRNA from 1 species
GUGCCUUCGGGAACUGUGAGACAGGUGCUGCAUGGCUGUCGUCAGCUCGUGUUGUGAAAUGUUGGGUUAAGUCCCGCAACGAGCGCAACCCUUAUCCUUUGUUGCCAGCGGUUAGGCCGGGAACUCAAAGGAGACUGCCAGUGAUAAACUGGAGGAAGGUGGGGAUGACGUCAAGUCAUCAUGGCCCUUACGACCAGGGCUACACACGUGCUACAAUGGCGCAUACAAAGAGAAGCGACCUCGCGAGAGCAAGCGGACCUCAUAAAGUGCGUCGUAGUCCGGAUUGGAGUCUGCAACUCGACUCCAUGAAGUCGGAAUCGCUAGUAAUCGUGGAUCAGAAUGCCACGGUGAAUACGUUCCCGGGCCUUGUACACACCGCCCGUCACACCAUGGGAGUGGGUUGCAAAAGAAGUAGGUAGCUUAACCUUCGGGAGGGCGCUUACCACUUUGUGAUUCAUGACUGGGGUGAAGUCGUAACAAGGUAACCGUAGGGGAACCUGCGGUUGGAUCACCUCCUUACCU